CCUCAGAAAAUCUACAAGAUAAUCAAAAGGAAAAGCAACCCAAGACAAGAUCAUAAUGCACAACACUCUGUAAAUCCAAAUCUGUCCGCACUGAUAUAGUGUGUGAGUGUAAAGCAACCACUAACAUGCUACUGAACAAAUUUUUCACAUACUAUGCUUCUUAGAGGAAAAGAACCAGUUUUACAUCAAGAUAAGCAGUAAAUCAAACAAGUUCUAACCAAGACCAUGUAUUACUUAAGUUCAGCGUCAGCUGGGAAAUUUAUGCCUUUAUUUACUCGUGAGGGCGAUUUUUGCACUUUCCCGCGGUGCUUAUUGCUAUUUUUUUAGCGAGUGUGUUUUAUGCUCCAUCUCGCCCCUUCCAAAGAUUCAGUAAUUCAGCUCAAGAAGGUUUCAAGAUAGAUUUUCUUCCUUUUUUUCUUUUUUUUUCAUGCAUAACACUGAAUUCCCCCAAACUUAAGCUUUUAACAGUUCUAGCUAUUACCUAAUAAAGUACUGACAUUCUUUCAUUAAAACACAAAAUUCCCACCAGAAGAUAAAUAUGUGAAAAUUUAAACUAAGCAUAUCAUAAUGGUUACUCAAAAGUGCUAACCAGUUAUAUCAGUGAUAGACAGAUAAGGAUUUAUAUAAUGCUAUGACAUCACAACCCAGCUUAAGUCUCAAAUCAGUUCAAAAAUCAAGUAGUUUUACUUUCAUC
rnacentral:lncRNA from 1 species